rnacentral:rRNA from 1 species
UACGGGGGGGGCAAGCGUUGUUCGGAAUUAUUGGGCGUAAAGAGCUCGUAGGCGGUCUGUCGCGUCUGCUGUGAAAACUCAGGGCUUAACCCUGAGCUUGCAGUGGGUACGGGCAGACUAGAGUGCGGUAGGGGAGACUGGAAUUCCUGGUGUAGCGGUGAAAUGCGCAGAUAUCAGGAGGAACACCGGUGGCGAAGGCGGGUCUCUGGGCCGAAAUUGACGCUGAGGAGCGAAAGCGUGGGGAGCGAACAGG